AUGUUGGGAGAACAAUUCCCGUUAUGAAAGCAUAGUGAGCCGGGAUGCCAAUGUACUCCCUCUGUGUUCUAGAAGCUCCUGCUGUGUGAGAAAAGACCCCCUCCAACCUGAGAAAGGCAGCAACAAAAUAUCAACACAUACCAAGUAAUGCCUGGACAAAGACUACCAUGAACUAGUUUCUCACACAUCACCAGAGAAAAACAGACUUUUAAUUUACUUUCAGUUUUCUUCCAACUUCUGAGGGUUGCCAAGAUCGAAAUAAGAACCUAUGACAAGCACUUCGCACCUACAAGACAACAGGUUCUUGAAAUUCCUGAAGCUGUUUCCUCCCUACUUACUUGCAGGU